rnacentral:lncRNA from 1 species
UCCCGUCCACCAGCCGAGCAAGGAAGGAAGGGAGCGAGCCUGAGAUAGAAAUUGCACGUAGAAUGUAACAUGUGAAGCAAAGUUCGUUUGUUUAAUUUUCCCCACCAUUAAUCUAAGCACGAUUAUACAUAUUGUUAUUAAUAUUCCUUCAUCAUCAGUUCAUCAUGGAGGCGAAAGAUUUUCUCGUUUCAUUUCAUUUUGGUUUUGGUUUUCUUGUGGUUAGCAAGGGCGAGACGAAGUCCAGACCCGAAUGGACGGGAGUGUUUUGACUGUGUGCGUGAUGUGAUGAUUUAAUAGGGUAACUAAAGUUGGUUUUGGUUGUUAAGACUUCUGUGGUCGAAGAAUGUCGAUCGACGAUGCCUUCCGUGCUGGCCUCCGUUGGCUUCGUGCGACGCAUGCGUUCGAUUGCUAGAUGUCGACGUUAAUCUUUGCUAACCACACAUCGCCGCGGCGUACUUGCUCCGGGAGAGAGCUCCAGCUCCUGGUUCCGGCUGACCUCGUCGGUCGCUGUCUUCCCCCUCGCCAUCGGUUUUGAGCAAGUGCAUGCACACACCGUCCUCCCCGAAAGCGAGCGUGGACUCGGUACUCUGCACUCUGCCCUGGUGGUGGUAGAGCUUUGCCGUGAACAUUUCGUUGGAGGAAUGGACGGUCUGGGAGGGCCAUCUCAUGAAAAUUGAGGGGGUGUUUGUUUCGGGAGAAAAUCCCCGUAACCUGUUUACUGUGUAAAAUCCAAAACGUUAAAACAUGUCUAGCAGAUACUGCAAAAACAUGAAUACUAUAAAGUUUCGGUGAGUUUGCGGGUCGUGCCCAGUUUGUUACGCAGAGCAGACUCCGCAUCUGCAGCCCGUCCCGCAAACGUUUUUCGCGAAUCCGCAAAUGUAUGCGGGGUAGGCAUAAAAGCCGUUUGGGCUCCCAUUUGCGGGGCCAAACCCUCAUCUUCGUCGCCGAAUUAGUCGCCGCCGUUCCCCUCCCUUCCCUAGCUCCAACCGCCCAAUUCGCUCGUCAUGGACGCCAUUCCUCCGCAUCUGCGGCAGGAGCGGCGCAGGUGCGGUGCCGUCGAUGCCGCGCGGAAGCGGUCGUCGCAUAAGUGGACGGGGAGGGGGCUCCCGAUGCCGGCGUCGCUGCUGCGGCGGGAGACCGAGGAGUUCGACAUCCGCCAGAGUCUCGUGACGGCCCCCGCGCCUCCCUGUUCGCCACCGCCGGAGUUCGAGGCUGGGAGCUCCUCCGGCACCUGGACCCUCUCCAUCACGGCGUCGUCACCGUACACUCCGGCCCGCGAGGUCGCCGUCGACGAGGACGGCUUCGAGAUCUACGAUCCGGCCGCCUUCGAGGGAUCGGUGACCCGCGAGGACUUCGUCCCCGAGGAGGUUCUCGCCACGGUGACCGGCAUGGUCGCGACGCGCUCCGCGGAGGAGGUCGAACACGACGACAAGCGCCGUCGUCGUGAGGUCGACAUCGAUCAGCUCUUCUCCUGGCCGACACCCCGUGCGUGCCGCCCCAGCUCGCCCUCGUCGCAGGUCGGACUGUUCGCUGCAAGGUGCAAGCUCCCUCCCUACUCCGUCCUCCUUCUGUCACGAGUCCUUCAUCAUCCUCCCUUGUCUACUCUCCUCCCCGUCCCUUGUCUUCUCUCUUCCUUUGCAGCCACCAGCCAACCCUGAAAUAAAACACCAUAACUCUGAUUACUUUACAGGCAUCAACCAAAGAAAGCAUGGAUUUAUCCAUUAUAUUCCCGUUACCAGCGUGAUCUAAUUCCCUUACCGUUUACAUUACCAUUCUCUGGUCCAAACACCUACUGAAUUGCAAUUUACUAGUCUUGUGUAUUGCCAUACUCCAUGUAAUUUAUUUCUGGGGAAAAUGAGUUUUAUUCCACAAUUAUAGUGUUACAAGAUGCAAAAGUUUCUCAAUACAUGGGGUCCUAGGUGUAGUCGUACAUCAGUGCUGCACUCUGUGCGUCUAUACAUCGUCUUUCGAUCCGCUAUCCUGCUUUGUUCCCGUCUGAGCUUCUUUGGAACGAACUCCAUGUCUUCCAUCAACGAGUGGAUCUCGGCAACAAGAUGUGCAUAUGCUAAACAUCUAAACUCCCUAAAUUAAUCCUAAAGCUUAGUGAGCUUACGUGAGUUCUUGUCGUUUUCCAAGCGUACAACGUCGGGACCGUUGGAUUUGUGCCCACGAAUCUUGACACGGGUUAAUCAUCACGUCACCAAUAGAAUCCAUUCGCUCAAGGCCUUGUUCGGUUACAACGGUUUUGAAUGGGAUUGGAGUGGAUUGGGAAGGAUUAAAUCCUGUGUAAGUCAAAUUCCACCUCAAUCCCCUUCAAUCCUCUCCAAUACCCUUGUGAUGGGGAUUAACCAAACAAGCCCCAAGGGAUAUGUGCAUGAUUCCACUUCUUUUAUGUCUAGGUCCUGAAACAGAUGGGGGCUCCUAAUAUUUUGACGAGUAUAAUUUUCCACCCGCAUAUCUGUUACUUGAGCGAGCUACAUUGUUUUUUUAAAGGAAGGGUGAAGCAAUAUAGUAGCGAUAAGAUUUUUUCCCAAUGAGAAUAAAGGUUAUCGAAUCAGUAAAAGAAUCAAAUCAAACUCUUGUCAUGAGCAUCUACACACACAAAACUAAACAGUUGCACUCAACGCGGGUAAAAGGGUUGUAAAGCCCCUUGAACUUAUUACCUCCAAUAAUUAAUUCUAAUAAUGAGGGGGUUGUACAUUAGGGAUAGGUCCACAGACCUGCCUCCAGGGCCCACAUAAGACCCACAUGGACAUCAAUGUACCAAAGAUCACCGUUGCAGUCAAGGUCUUACUUGGGCAAACAGGUUCUCACUCAGUUUUCACAAGGCCACUCGGAUCGUCUAAUGUCAGUCGGACGUGCCUUGACACUCAAACUACAGCAAGGCAUGGGCAACGAAGGGACUGCAACGAUUACAAACUAAAACUACCACAUGAAGUGCACUGAAGACGCGCAUUACCAGUAACGUCGGAGUUAGAGCUGCUGUUACUAAUAAGUUCCAUCGUUAUUAGUAUUAACUCACCCUUGUAGUGGCGCUCGGCCGGUCGUGGCGCACUCUAUGUAAACCGCACCUGAGCUCCUGAAGAGGGGUUGAGCAUUCUGUAAUCUCACACCCCCCAUAAGCAAACGGUAGCCUCCACGCUCGAGACGUAGGGUUGUUACCACUUCCGAGUGGGGAUCGAACUCGUACAUCCGAGUGUAUCCAUUGUGCCAUAGCUAGGCUCCGCCCCUCACUCGUACCCUGGUAUUAUUUUUGGGAUCACUUCCACGACAGUUGGCACCCACCAUGGGGUUGCACGUUUAGAAAAUUCGGCGCGGUUGGAGUUUUCACCUUUUUCGUCAUCAUGAUGACGCUCGACGAAUAGAUUCUCUUCGGCUCCCUCAGCUUCGUUGUUGAUGACUCGGCGUGGCUGCAGGACGCGCUAUUGGACACAUACGCCCUUCCGGCUUGAGAUACAUCGCACUUCAACGCGGUUGCGCACAAACUCCUAAUCCGACAGCCAUCAGUGCCAUUUCAAUCGAUGCCCCCACAUCCCACCGCGGUCCGUCACAAGCGUUCUUGGCGCUCGCGACUGCAGCGAUGGAUAAAGCACGCGGUGGCCUAUCAGGCCACAUCGGGGAAGGUGGCCAUGCUCGAUUUGGACGAGCCCACCGUCAGCCUCUUCCCUUAAUCGGGCGACGGAUCGUUCGACGAUUCUGACUACAAAAGCAGUGGAGAUGUCGCGGAGAUCUUGAUGGCCGACACGGCCAGGGGAGGAGCCUCUGUCUUCAUCGCGGAGAACUAUCAUGGACACGCUUGCGGAGAGAAUCGCUAUGGCGACGACAACCGUCACGUCGAACAGUCGCUCACGGAGCAGCAAUGGGAGGAAUUUGGGCGGAGGAGCGAUCAAGCUCUUCGUACUCCCAUCACCGGGAACACCAUAGAGGAGAUAGCGCUGGAGAAUGCGCGCCACGCCACUCUGGCCGAGCGCGAGCGGCUUGAGCGACUUCAGCAAUCACUCGACGCCCGAGCUGCAAGGGACCAACCGAGUUCCACCCACAACCGCCGGCAGUUGUUUCCGAAUGACCACCAGCGCAACAUCGAGGUGAUGCGAACACCUCUGCAGAACCUAGCCACCGCCACUCGGAUCGCUGAUCCAUUCAGCUAGUGAUUCCGUGACCGGAGAAGGCAUUUGGUAGAUCCAGACUCUGCUGAAGACUACCUUGCAGCAAAACUCUGCAAUAUCGCAAUCACAGUACCAUAUCCAUAGCAGGUCCGUCCAAGCGGACACGGUGCAGUCGUCUCAUUGCCCUCACGCGCCCGGAAGACGUCAAAGAUCUCCCCCCUCCUUCGAGAGGCCCGCACGAGGAUCAGAGACAUGAUCAUCGGAUUCCUAGCAGGACACCUCCCCUGAGGAGUGGUUCACUAGGACACCGACCAUAUGACCACAGGCCAAGACCCAAUCGGCAUAGGGGUUAUGGGGAGGACGGCCACCGAGCUCCCCAGUUCAACGCGAGGUCCAUAAUCACGCAGAAUGUGGUUGACUGAUCGCGAGCGGGCUAGGGAGUAUGUGGCCUCGAGUGCUUGGGUCGACACAUCCGUGACGCGGAGCUCCCCUUCAACUACUGAUUCGACACGGGGAUCGCAAGUUUAACGGUGAGUCCAAGCUGGAGACUUGGCUCAAAGAUUACCUAGUGGCUAUCCAGAUAGGCGAUGGCAACGACUUCGUCACGAUAAAGCACCUGCCCCUCAUGAUGGAGGGAUCAGCGAGGGUGUGGCUCAAUCGACUUCCCCCAUUAGCAUCCAUAGCUGGGGGGGGGGACCUCGCCUGAGUGUUUGUAAAAUUGUUCGAAGGCACCUACAAGCGCCCAGGUGGCUUGACGAAACUACAACAUUGCAUCCAGAAGAGCAACGAGACUCUCAUAGAGUACAUCCAACGAUGGACCACAUUGCAUAACACCAUGGAGAACAUCACCAAACAUCACGCCGUGCGCGCUUUCAAGGCAGACACUUAGUUCCGGAAGCUCAUUCUCAAACUUGGUCGAUCAGGGGGAGCUGUCCCAGUGUCGGGCAAUGGAGAUCGCCAAUCGGCACGUGAAUGGCGAGGAAGAAGACCGCCUUCAUAGCGACAAAGGACGAGCCUGCGAUGCCCAUCCAUCGGGCAACGCGGGGAAAAAGCAGAAGUGAAAGGGCGACCCAUUAGGGAAAGCCGAAGUAGAUGUUGUCCCGGGGCAAGGUCAGAGAAAGUCCAAGCAAAAGAAGAAGAAAGAUUGGGCAUACAAAAAGAAAACCGAGUCCAAGAGCCACCUUGUGGACCAACCGUGUCCGAUCCACGCCAGGAAGGAUGACGAUGGGGAGAUCAUUCCCGCCAAGCACACGGUGCGAGACUAUCUCCUGCUCUGGUAGGAGAUGGGCGAAGAAUCAUGCGGGGACAAGGAUGGUGGGGAUGGCCAAGAGGCUACCUCGGGUAGCCGAAUAUCAAGAAGGUCCUCAUGAUCUUGGUCGACAUCGAGAGUUAGAGAUGAUUGAAUGUAGCAACCCGACUCAAAACGAGUCAAGUCUCUAUGUAUCUGUGCCAUCCCUGGAUCAGUAUGCUGGCACACACAGUACAUCAAUGUAUAUAUCAAAGUGCAAACACAUGUAAAUAACAUAAAAUUGAUAUAUACCUCAAAAUCUCAGCGGAAACAGUCAAGGGAGUGGAGUCCCAAUAAACACCAACGGCAGGUUGAGUGCAGACCGUAACCCUGAAUCAUACUCUUACUCGUCGAAGAAAAUAUCUGCAACAUAAGACGUUGCAGCCGUGUAGGUCAGCAUAUUGAAUAUGCCGGCAAGUCACAAAAGAGGGGUGAAAACAUCAUAUAUACUACGUGCAUAUAUGGCAGGUGGGGAUGUAGUUUAAGUUUUGCGUAAAGCAAAUUUUCCUACAACAAGAGAGAGGGUAAAAGCAAAAAUUUACUACAUUGUUGGUUGUUAAUGAGAAGGUUCCACCAAAUAUUUCUCAUACCCAGGUUAUAAAUAUUACCCACAUCAAUAAGUUAAUGGUGUUGAGAAUUCCUGAUAGUUUCAGUUCCUUUGCCUCAAGUUGUCCAUGACUGUGGACACGGCUAAUCGAUUAGGUUUGAGUACUCUGUAGAGUUUUGCACUCGUUUCCCACAAGAUUUGAUCACCCCCGUUGAAGUCCCCGCACUUCAGGGUGUUUGAGAACCGGAUGAUCAAAACAUGGUCUUUCAACGGGUUCCUCUGAGCCUGUGUCGGUGCCCAUCCAAUCCUACCGUUCUUCUACAUCUCGUAGCACCACCCGUCCAGAGUCACCACGUUGUCCAACCAAGCGAGAGCCCAUAAUGACUUGUGGCUGUGCACGUAAGCCUUGGGUCUUGAAAUAUCCAUCCAUCUCUUUGAGCUUGGGUGAAGCUUUCCGCAAGAUGUCAUGACGCUUCUCCAUGCAUCCCGGGUCCUCCACUGGGUUUUGUUUUCCCAGGGAGCCCAUAUGAACCGUCCUUCACCCACAGAUAUAUUUCAUUUUGAGGUCUUGCAAGUCUUGGAGUUUUCAGGUCUUGAUUAUUAAGUUUCUCACAACACUCAUGAUAAACACUCAACCAAACCCCGUCUACUAGGAGCAUAUCAAUAUAACGUCCCGACCAAAGUAAGAAGGGUUUAGGGGGUGCUUAUCAUAACAUACAACUCAAUAACCAAAGUUUCCAAGUACCUACUUGCAUGUAAUGGGUGAAGAAGGUUGGAACUAAUGCAAUAAAACCAUAGGUAAAAAUAUGAUCAAUGUGAACUUGCUGGUAUUACUUGAUGAAGAUAGUCGCUCUCAUAAUCCUGAUAAUUCUACUCGUCACACUCCGAGCAAUCUAUCGUAAACAAAUACCAUUCAAUAAAGAUUCAUGCGAUAAAGGAAGAACCAAAAGAACAUAAGAACAAAACAUGUCUUGGUGCAAAAUAACAACAUACUAAGGUUUAAUAAAAAAAGGUUCUAAGUGUGUUGUAAAGUGAAGGUGCAGGAAUGAGAUCAAAAGAGUUAAUGGACGAUGAUCUAUUUCUAUAUACGCUUAGAGUGGAGAUACUAUGAAAGACGAUCCCAACUAUGCGGAAAACAACAUGAAUGACAAAUAGCAUAGGACAUAAGAAUUCAGUUGCGAAAAAAGAAUUAAUUAAAAUGGAGCACUACAACGCAAGUUAUAGCAAAUUGAAGUAUGAACAUAAUUUGAAUUCCAUAAAGUUCAAAAGUAUUUGAAUUGGAGCAUGGUUGUUAUGAAUAGAAAGUACAUAACACGAGCGUUUAAGGGCAAAAGAAAUCAAUGGAGAAGGUGUUACUGUUUGCAAGGUAAGAUCAAAUGAAUGUUCGAAUACAAAUUUGAAUCGCUCAAAUUUGUAAGGUUCAAAGGUCGAAACUAAUGAUUCUACUGGAUAUAGGAGAUCAAUAUGAACAUGUAGAAAAAAGAAUUACUAGAUUUGAAAUAGCGAAUCAAAAGAUACAAAUACUUCAAUAUAACAUUGAAUCAACUUAGAGCGAUGUGAACACUUUUGGGCACUAAUAGAUAAAUCUGAUUUGAUCAAAAUUAUAAGUUGAAAAUUUAAAACUAACGAUACAAACGGGAAGAUUACUUUGAUACGAAUCCGACGCAAUUGGAUUCAUUUAAAACGAAGCUAUGGCUAAGAAGAUAUGAUCAAAAGAAGUUUGAAUAUGAGUGUGAAAAUUUCAAAAAGUUGAUAUGAUAGGUUCACCGGAUAGGUGGGAUCAAGAAGAAACUCUAGGCAUUGGUUUCAUCUAAUUUGGAUAAACGGGUAAAAAGUUAUGGUUAUUUGAAAAAUGAGGGCCAAGUUGUUUUACGAAAAAAUGCUAUGUCUAAUAGAAUUUUAGGGCUGAUGUGUAAAUACGGAGACUAAUUGAUAAAUCUAAUUACUCUACCGUAUACUAGUGUUGGAAUACUAGUCUAGAAAUAAUAAACUACGGGAGUAUAAAAGAAAAAUACGAAGAGAAAUACCUUUAGAAUGCAGAGUAAGAAUUAAUUCGACGACUUCGAGAAAUCCCGCCGAAGAGAAGAGAAUAUUUUUAUUUAAUAAAUCUAGUUAAACCAAAAGAUUGAUUUAUGUUCAUAGAUGAUUUUUGGAUGCUUCUAUGGAGCUAUAUUUAUAGGUGAAAGGGAGGUUUAAUGGUCUAUCGAUAGGCAAUGUGGGACUAAACAUAUACGAAAAGAGGAGAAAAGAAGAGAGGACAUGGCACACUCACGUGCAUGGGCCAUUGAUUCGGCCGCCCGCAUGAGUAGUUCCGGCCAGCCGUGGCCUCUUUUUUUUUAUGAACAAUGUUUUUUUUGGAAAAAAAAGAAAAAAAACAGUGAAGAAAAACGUAUAAACGAAAUUGAGAGAACAUUUUAUAUAGGCAUAUUAUAUAUCAAAACUUUCAGAAUAAAUUUUCCUAUAACAUGAACAUAUUUUCAAGACAAAAUAAAAUACUUUUUUAAAAAUUAUUUUUUUGCAAUAACUUUAAAAUGAAAAGGAAUUUGAUUUUCAAAUAAAUUGCAGAUACUUAAAAUUUGAAUCAAGACAUUGUCCAUGAUUUUGGAGUGUCAUUUUCCUCCUCUCAUUUGGUUUUUGUUUAUCAGAGGGUUUUAAAAAUAUUCAAACUCAAAAUUGAAUAGAGAUUCAAAUUAGAAAUUUUCUGAAAGUCAUUUUAUUCCCUCUCAUUCAAAAGUUUCAAAUCUCGCUCAAUUUCAAACAAGCAAUCAAAAAAUCAUCAUUCUAGUAAAUAUAUUAACAUACCAAAAUUUGGGUUGUUACAAACCUACCAGACUUAAAAUGAAUCUCGUCCUCGAGAUUCGAAAAGGCUAGAAAGGUUAGGGUUUUGGAGGUCUUCUAACAAAUCCAAUCUCCUGCAAAGUGGGGUGCUACCACACUUAAAAUGAGAGUAACCGGUCCGUGAAGUAUUUACAAUCCUCUGGCUCUUGGCAUCAGACUCCUCACAUUCUUCAUACUAACACCUUUGGUGAUCCUCUUCCAUUAUAUUCAUAAUGUUUCCAUCAAAAUCGAGUGCUUUUCUGUUGACAUAAGCUUCUUCCAUCACUGGGUCCUCUUAACUGAUAGGUCUCGUGAUCAUUCUAAAUAACUUAUCGAUGAUUCUCAUGGUGGUCUAUCAUUUGUGGUUAUCUUGCAGUGAAAUGGGUCUUGGCUUCAUCCUCACCGUAAAAUUCCUACGUUUGGCAACAACUGCCAAGGAUAAGGGGUCUCCAUCAUACCAUUCUAAGAUUUAAACAAAAGCUUCAAAGAACGUCGUCUCUCUAUAUGGGUAAGUCUCUCAGAUUUACCAUUCCGAAUAGCAAGAGAAUGAUAAGAGUCAGUCGUCAUGGUGGCCAAGCCAUGUCGCACUGAGAUCAUUACCUUGUAUAAGGUUUAGCGAAUCUCGUAUUCUAACACUUGGGCGUCCUCACAUGCGUUGCAGGAUUUCUCUUAUCCACGAAUGAAGUUCGGAUAAUCCAUGGAUUCUGCAAGCUAAAACAAAACAUCUAUCGUAACUUCACAACUCUCAGGUUUUCGUAUGCUCCUAAGAAAAACGUUUGCUAAUCCAUCAUAGCUUAUUACCUCAUGCGCUUGGGGAAACCUUCAUGAAAAAUCUUGAGAUGCAUCCUUGGUACCAGUUGUAUUUCUUGAACUCAUUUUCCCUUCCAUUGGUCUGUGUACCAACAAAAGUGUUUGUUCCUCAUAUUUCCAAUUCCAAGGUACACUAUUUUUCUGCUGUCACCCCGAUAGUUUGAUAUGAUCCAACAUUUCCUUCGACUCUAUUCAGUGGGUUUGGCUUCUUGGUAUGCAUGGUACAUUCCUACUCCUUGGGUCCUGUGGGUUUACCGAUUACUACCACACUUAAAAUGAAAUAUACUCAUGCCUGCAUAGACCAUAUUUUCUCAUAUCCUCGAAAUGGUCAGAGAUAUUUGUUCAUAGAGAAAUAACUCAUACAAUUUCAACAUAGGAAACCAUGACACGUAAAUUCCAUUUUUCCAUGAAGUUAUUACAAUCUUAGAGACUUCUGUUACAAAAAUUAACUCCAUAAUAUCAUGAAGACAAGAGGGCUUCACGUUACACUUAUUGCCAUUGUCAAAACUUAACCACUCCAUCUUAGCUUUCUUCCCCUGUGGACAAUUACUAGCAUAAUGUCCUACUUCCUUGCAACGAAAACAAAUGAGUUCCGACAAGUCUCGGGGCUUCUUGGUGUUUGCUAUUACUCCUUGGUUUUCCUGCUUCCUUCUUGGGCACAUAUCGUUGUAGUGGCCCAAUUCCUUACACUUGAAACAUCUGAUAUGACUCAGAUCUUUAUGUGUAGGGAUUUGACUCUGGCUGGUGUACUUUCUCUUCUUUCCGGACUGCUUCAUUCUGGUUAGUUCUUCUAUUUCAUGAGGAUCAAACUCUACUUUUUCUGUCGGGAAAUAUCCCAAAUAUUUACGACUUUCCUUUGUGCAAUCCUCUGAAAAGUGUCCUUCUUCUCCACAUGAGUAACAUGCAUUGGAGAAAAAUCUGGUUAGGCCUUGUCCAUCAGGAUCUUCAGUAAUUUCUUUCAUUACACGUUCUUCUAAAAUCUUAUUCUUGAGCAUCUCCUUCAUUGCUUCUUUCUGUUGCUUGAAAACUUGUUGCACCUUGGGGUAAAUGUGACACUUAAUUGGGUAGUGGGUGGUUCCUUCACAUAAGAAACAUGUCACCUGACUAGUUGGGCAUUCCUCCGCUGGGUGAUUUUCUUCACAACGAGGGCAUCCAUCCUUGUGUUAUUCCUAGGUGUGUCCUAUUUCUCCACAUAUCUUACAUGCACAAGGUUUCUUCACGGGGCUAUCAUAGCACUUCUGAAUGAGACAUGAUCUUAACAGACUCUUCUUGAAUUCGUCCCAAGUUUUUGAUCCACUAAAUCCUUGUAUGGCAUGAUGCAUUUUCCACCAGAUAGCAACACCUUGGGUAAAGUACUGAAGAGCAUGUGCCACUUCAUAUUUCCUUGAAAUCAAAUUGCUCCCGAAAUGGUUCUCCAUGUUCUGAAUCCAUAUUUCAGCUUCCAGCUCGGUCAUUGGUCCAGAGAUUACAAGUCCAGCUUUGUACGUCAUCUGGUAGGGUUGAGGUUUUGGGGAUGAGAUGGGUAAGAGAGAGAGAAAAAGGGGGAGAUACACACAAUACAAACAAUAUUUUUGAGAAUAGGUUUUAUUUGUGGCUGUCAGAAAACACACAAAAUUGACGACUCACAAUUCAUCGUAUCUAACAUGGGUAUAUAACAGGGCUUUGGACUUCUAAUGCCAUAUAAAUAUUGGAACGCUUCAGGGUCUUCAAAUUCUUCGGGUCUUGGGUGUCUUCAAUUUGUGCAGCUUCAAUUCUUCAAAUGCAUGGCGAAAUCCUCUUUACUUUCAAGUGGGACUCAGUUGAUCCUUCAUGUGGUCAAAAGGGAAAAGGGUAUUAUCUAACUAUUUGAGGUGAGAGAGAACAUUUGAUGAAAUCAGAAGAGAUGAGAAGUAAAGGAUGUUCUUGGAAAUAAAAUUUUAGAGAGAUACUUUCCUAAGGGAUUUCCAGUUUCUAGGGUCACGUCCUACAAUCAACCUGUGCUCUCAUACCAUAUCUGUAGCGACCCGACUCAAAACGAGUCAAGCCUAUGUAUAUCUAUACCAUCCCUGGAUCAGUAUGCUGACACACACAGUACAUCAAUGUAUAUAUCAAAGUGCAAUCACAUGUAAAUAACGUAAAAUUGAUAUAUACCUCAAAAUCUCAGCGGAAACAGUCAAGGGAGUGGAGUCCCAAUAAACACCAACGGCAGGUUGAGUGUAGACCGUAACCCUGAAUCGUACUCUUACUCGUCGAAGAAAAUAUCUGCAACAUAAGACGUUGCAGCCGUGUAGGUCAACAUAUUGAAUAUGCCGGCAAGUCACAAAAGAGGGGUGAAAACAUCAUCUAUACUACAUGCAUAUAUGGCAGGUGGGGCUGUAGUUUAAGUUUUGCGUAAAGAAAAUUUUCCUACAACAAGAGAGAGGGUAAAAGCAAAAAUUUACUACAUUGUUGGUUGUUAAUGAGAAGGUUCCACCAUUUCUCAUACCCAUGUUAUAAAUAUUACCCACAUCAAUAAGUUAAUGGUGCUGAGAAUUCCUGAUAGUUUCAGUUCCUUUAGCUCAAGUUGUCCAUGACCGUGGACAUGACUAAUCGAGUAGGUUUGAGUACUCUGCAAGUUUUGCACAUGUUUCCCACAAGAUUUGAUCGCCCCCGUUGAAGUCCUCGCACUUCAGGGUGUUUGAGAGCCGGAUGAUCAAAACAUGGUCUUUCAACGGGUUCCUCUGAGCCUCUGUCGGUGCCCAUCCAAUCCUACCGUUCUUCUACAUCUCGUAGCACCGCCCGUCCAGAGUCACCACGUUGUCCAACCAAGUGAGAGCCCAUAAUGACUUGUGGCUGUGCAGGUAAGCCUUGGGUCUUGAAAUAUCCAUCCAUCUCUUUGAGCCUGGGUGAAGUUUUCCGCAAGAUGUCAUGGCGCUUCUCCAUGCAUCCCGGGUCCUCCGCUGGUUUUUGUUUUCCCAAGGAGCCCAUCUGAACCAUCCUUCACCCAGAGGUAUAUUUUGAUUUGAGGUAUUGCAAGUCUUGGAGUUUUCAGGUCUUGAUUAUUAAGUUUCUCACAACACUCAUGAUAAACACUCAACCAAACCCCAUCUACUAGGAGCAUAACAAAAUAACGUCCCGGCCAAAGUAACAAGGGUUUAGGGGGUGCCUAUCAUAACAUACAACUCAAUAACCAAAGUUUCCAAGUACCUACUUGCAUGCAAUGGGUGAAGAAGGUUGGAACUAAUGCAGUGAACUUGCCUAGUAUUACUUGAUGAAGAUAGUCGCUCUCAUAAUCCUGAUAAUUCUACUCGUCACACUCCGAGCAAUCUGUCAUAAACGAAUAACAUUCAAUAAACAUUCAUGCCAAAAGGAAGAACCAAAAGAACAUAAGAACAAAACAUGUCUUGGUGCAAAAUAACAACAUACUAAGGUUUAAUAAAAAAAGGUUCUAAGUGUGUUGUAAAGUGAAGGUGCAGGAAUGAGAUCAAAAGAGUUAAUGGACGAUGAUCUAUUUCUAUAUACGCUUAGAGUGGAGAUACUAUGAAAGACGAUCCCAACUAUGCGGAAAACAACAUGAAUGACAAAUAGCAUAGGACAUAAGAAUUCAGUUGCGAAAAAAGAAUUAAUUAAAAUGGAGCACUACAACGCAAGUUAUAGCAAAUUGAAGUAUGAACAUAAUUUGAAUUCCAUAAAGUUCAAAAGUAUUUGAAUUGGAGCAUGGUUGUUAUGAAUAGAAAGUACAUAACAUGAGCGUUUAAGGGCAAAAGAAAUCAAUGGAGAAGGUGUUACUGUUGGCAAAGUAAGAUCAAAUAAAUGUUCGAAUAUAAAUUUGAAUCGCUCAAAUUUGUAAGGUUCAAAAGUAGAAACAAACGAUGCUACUGGAUAUAGGAGAUCAAUAUGAACAUGUAUAAAAAAGAAUCACUAGAUUUAAAAUAACGGAUCAAAAGAUACAAAUACUUCAAUAUAACAUUGAAUCAGCUUAGAACGAUGUGAACACUUUUGGGCACUAAUAGGUAAAUCUGAUUUGAUCAAACUUAUAAGUUGAAAAGUUCAAAAUAAUCAUACAAACGGAAGAUUACUUUGAUACGAAUUCGACGCAAUUGGAUUCAUCUAAAACGAAGCUACGGCUAAGAAGAUAUGAUCAAAAGAAGUUUGAAUAUGAGUGUGAACAAGUUUCGAAAUUUGAAAAUUUCAAAAAGUUGAAUGAUAGGUUCACCGGAUAGGUGGGAUCAAGACGAAACUCUAGGCGUUGGUUUCAUCUAAUUCGGAUAAACGAGUAAAAAGUUAUGGCUAUUUGAAUAAUCAGGGCCAAGCUGUUUUACACAAGAAAAAUGCUAUGUCUAAAAGAAUUCUAGGACUGAUGUGUAAAUACAGAGACUAAUUGAUAAAUCUAAUUACUCUAUCGUAUACUAGUGUAUGAAUACUUGUCUAGAAAUAAUAAACUAUGAGAGUAUAAAAAAAUACAAAGAGAAAUAUCUUUAGAAUGCAUAGUAAGAUUUAAAUCCAAAAAAAGACGACUUCGAGAAAUCCCGCCGAAGAGAAGAGAAUAUUUUUAUUUAAUAAAUCUAGUUACACCAAAAGAUUGAUUUAAACCGAAAUAGAUUAUUUUUGGAUGCUUCUAUGGAGCUAUAUUUAUAGAUGAAAGGAAGGUUUAAAGGUCCAUAGAUAGUUAAUGUGGGACUAAACAUAUACGAAAAAGGAGAAAAGAAGAGAUGACCCGGCACACUCACGUGCAUGGGCCAUUGAUUCGGCGGGCCGCAUGAGUAGUUCCGGCCAGCCGCGGCCUCUUGUUUUUUUAUGAAUAGUGUUUAUUUUUUGGAAAAAAGAAAAAACAGUGUAGAAAAACGUAUAAACGAAAUUGAGAGAACAUUUUAUAUAGGCAUAUUAUAUAUCAAAAUUUUGAGAAUAAAUUUUCCUAUAACAUGAACAUAUUUUCAAGACAAAAUAAAAUAAGUUUUUAUUUUUUUUGCAAUAACUUUAAAAUGAAAAGGAAUUUGAUUUUCAAAUAAAUUGCAAAUACUUAAAAUUUGAAUCAAGACAUUGUCCCUGAUUUUGGAGUGUCAUUUUCCUCCUCUCAUUUGAUUUUUGUUUAUUAGAGGGUUUUAAAAAUAUUCAAUCUCAAAAUUGAAUAGGGAUUCAAAAUAGAAAUUUUUGGGAAAGUCAUUCUAUUCCCUCUCAUUCAAAAGUUUCAAAUCUCGCUCAAUAUCAAACAAGCAUUCAAACAAUCAUCAUUCUAGUAAAAAUAUUAACAUACCAAAAUUUGGGAUGUUACAUUGAAAGUCAUCAAUUGGGAGGUAAACAUGGCUGCUCCGACCUGUCAUGAAGUAUCUCGAUCAAGCUAACAUGCCCAUCACGUUCGAUUAGUCGGACCACCCAUCCCACAUUGCCACCCCCGAGAGGCAGGCGUUGGUUGUCGAUCCAGCUAUCUAUGGGUUCUGACUAUGGAUGGUCCUCAUGGAUGGUGGUAGUCGCCUCAACAUCAUCUAUGUCGACACGCUCAAAGCCAUGGACACCCCAUUGUCCGAGCUAAGCAAGAUUAACAUGCAGUUCCAUGGGGUCUUCCUCGGGAAAAAGCCCGAGUCACUCGGUCAAAUCGCCCUGAAUGUCGUAUUUGGUAGCGAAAAUAAUUAAAGGAAGGAGAGACUGACCUUCUAGGUGGUUGACUUUCGAAGUGCCUAUCACGCCAUCCCGGGUUCAUGGCCCAACCAUGCUACGUGUAUCUUAAACUUAAGAUGCCAGGGCCUAAAGGCGUAAUCACAAUGACCGGCAAUCAGGAGAUCGCGGAGGAGUGCCUCCAGGAGGGCCCCAAGAUCGCUAACGAGCAAGUCCUUGCGGCCGAGCUCGAAGGGUACAAGAAGGCGAUGGACACUGCCAAAUUGCUCAAGUUUAAACGGCCAACUACUAAGUCCGCCUUUCAGUCGGUCUGUGAGACCAAGCGGGUUCACAUCUACCCUACCGGUUUGAGUGCCUUCGGGAUGAACAUCUCCACUUCGCUCGGCGACAAAUAGGAAGCUGAGCUCAUCCAGUUCCUAUAUGAGAACUAGGACAUCUUCGCAUGGAAGCCAUCUGACAUGCCGGGUGUUCCCAUGGAGCUAGCCGAGCAUCACUUUCGAGUGGACUCCAAGGUCAAGCCUAUCAAGGAGCACCUGCGCCGCUCCUCUGUAGAGAAGUGCAAGGCGAUUGGCGAAGAGAUCGCUCGACUCCUAGAUGCCGAGUUCAUCCGUGAGGUUUACCAUUGUGAGUGGUCGGCAAACGUGGUCAUGGUGCCUACGAAGAACAAUUCACUCUAAAUGUGUAUUGACUUCAAGCACCGAAACCGGGCCUGCCCGAAGGACCAUUUCCCUUUACCUCGCAAAGACCAGAUUGUAGAUUCCACUUUUGGAUGUGAAGGCUUGUUGUUUUUGGAUGCGUACUCCGGGUACUACUAGAUCUGAAUGUAUGGACCCCGAUGAAAUAAAAACGGCCUUCAUCACCCCAUUUGAGUGUUUCUGCUACAUCACCAUGCCAUCCAGACUCAAAAAUGCUGGGGCUACUUUCCGGCGCAUGAUCCAAAUGUGUGUGCAAGAACAGAUCAGUUGGAACGUCAAAGCGUACAUGGAUGAUAUCGUGAUCAAAUCCAGGAAAGGUUCCGACCUCGUGACCGACCUCGCCGAAAUCUGUGCAAACCUCCGACGCUUUGGGAUCAAGCUUAACCUGGCCAAGUGCACUUUCGUUGUACCGUCCGGUAAGCUACUAGGUUUCCUAGUUUUGGAACGAGGCAUCGACGCCAAUCCCGAUAAAAUCGGCGCCAUAGUCCAAAUGAGACGACCAGAGAGCAUCCAUGAUGUGCAUAGGAUUACAGGUUGCCUCGCGGCUCUAAGCCAUUUCAUCUCGAGACUCGGUGAAAAGGCAUUGCGUCUUUACCGAUUGAUGAAAAAAUUUGACAUGUUCGAGUGGACCAACGAAGUGCAAAUCACAUUCGAGAAACUCAAGGCUUUGCUUUCCACCCAACCGGUGUUAGCUGAUCUGGGCAGACACGAGCCCUUGCUCCUGUACGUCGCUGUUACUUGCCAAGUGGUUAGUACCGUUGUCACUAUGGAGCGUGAGGAAGCAGGCAGAGCAUUCAAGUUACAAAGGCCCAUCUAUUAAAUCUCAGAAGUUUUGACUCCUUCCAAGCAAAGGUACCCACAUUACGAGAGACUAGUUUAUGGUAUCUAUGUGACCGUGAAGAAGGUAGUCCAUUACUUCCAAGAUCACUCGUCCACAGUAAUCAGUGAUGCCCCCUUGUCGGAAAUCCUGUACAACAUAGAUGCCACUGGCCGAGUCGCUAAAUGGGCAAUUGAGCCCCUCCCACCGGAGAUCAAGUUUGAAGCCAAAAAGUGAUCAAGUCUAAGGCCUUGGUGGACUUCCUGGCUGAAUGGAUAGAACAAGAGCAGCCGGCUCCUGGUAUCCCCGAGCAUUGGAUUAUGUUCUUCAACGGGUCCAAGAUGCUCCAUGGCUUGCGGGAUGGAGUAGUUCUCGUUUCCCCCACGGGAGACCGACUGAACUAUGUAAUCCAAAUCCACUUUGACUCGUCUAACAAUGAGGCCGAGUACGAAGCCCUCCUGUAGGGGCUCCGUAUGACCAUCUCACUCGGCAUUCGAUGUUUGAUGGCCUACGACGACUUGGAUCUCGUUGUCAAUCAGGUGAUGAAGGAAAGGAAUAUUCAGAGCCCAGCCAUGACAGUUUACUGCAACGCAGUCAGGAAGCUAGAGAAGAACUUUAAAGGGUAUGAAUUGCACCACAUGCCCCGAUCCAAGAAUCAGGCGGGUGACGACUUGGCUAAGACCAGAUCAAAUCGUAAAGUCAUUCCAAAAUGCAUGUUCCUCGAACACUUGCGCGCCCCUCAGACAAAGAAGAUCCUUUUAUAGAGGAGCCCCCACAGGUAGUCGAUCCUUUGAAUCCAACUGAAGUUGUUAUCCCAGCCGUGGUCGACCUCAUCCAUGAGAUGCUGGUCAUCACGCCCGAAUGGACUCAACCUUAUCUGGCUUACUUGAUCUGGCAAGAACUCCUCGAAGACGAAGAGGAAGCCCGCCGAAUCAUCCGAUAGUCUAAUGCUUUUGAUGUUUUGGGAGACAAAUUAUGCAAAAAAGUGUUACAUGAGUUAGCCAGAAGAGUAUUUCCCUAGAGGAAGGGCUUCAAAUCUUGCACAAGGUUCACUCGGGAACCUGCGGUCAUGAUGCGUCCUCUCGGACUUUGGUGGCCAAGGCCUUACGAGCAGGUUUCUAUCCGCCCAGAGCCAAUGAGGCAACAAGAGACCUGGUUGAGAUAUGCGUCGGAUGUCAGUUUUACAAAAAUCAGUCGCACAACCCUGCAUCCGCGUUAGGGAUGAUUCCGCUCACCUGACCGUUCGUCGUGUGGGGUUUCUACAUGGUCAGCCCUUUACGGACCGGGUCAAGUGGAUUCACCUACUUGCUAGUAGCGGUGGAUAAGUUCACGAAGUGGGUCGAGGAAAACCCCAUCAUAAUCCUGGACUCAGCGACUGCCAUCAGCUUCAUCCGACAAAUUAUCUUCAGAUUCGGAGUUCCUCACGAUAUCAUCACCGACAACGGAUCCAAUUUUGAUUCGGAUGAGUUCCGCGAGUUCUACCAUUCCCUGGGCGCUCGGGUCAAUUAUGCCUCCUUGGCUCACCCGUAGUCGAAUGGACAUGCAGAACGAGCAGAUGGUAUGAUAGGGCAAGGUUUGAAACCCCUGCCGAUGAGAUAUCUCAAGUACACUGUGGGCGCAUGGGUAGAAGAAUUGCCAUCCGUCUUGUGGGGCAUGCAAACGACUCUAAAUCGUUCCACCAAAUGCACCCAUUUCUUCAUGGUGUAUGGAUCUGAAGCCGUUCUGUCGAGUGACCUGUUGGGGAACGUUGCAUGGGAAAUAAAAAUUUUCCUACGCACACGAAGACCUAUCAUGGUGAUGUCCAUCUACGAGAGGAGAUUUGGAUCUACGUACCCUUGUAGAUCGCACAUCAGGAAGCGUUAAGAAACGCGAUUGAUGUAUUGGAACGUCUUCACGUCCCUCGAUCCGCCCCACGAACCGUCCCGCGAUUCGUCCCACGAUCGGUUCCAAUCUAGCGCCGAACGGACGACACCUUCGCGUUCAGCACACGUAUAGCUCGACGAUGAUCUCGGCCUUCUUGAUCCAACAAGCAAGACUGAGAAGUAGAUUAGUUCUCCAGCAGCGUGACAACGCGCCUGCGGUGGUGAUGAUCUACUCCUGUAGGGCUCUGCCCGAGCUCCGCAGAAAUCCGAUCUAGAGGUAAAACUAUGUGGUCUAGGGUUGAGUUGCACGUGGAAAAAGUUGUCUCAAAUCAGCCCUAAAUCACCACUAUAUAUAGGAGGGAGGGGGAGGAGGCUUACCUUGAGGGCCAACCCUCAAGGGUUCACCGGCCAGGAGGAGAGGAGGAAUCCUACUCCAAUUAGGAUUGGAAAGUGGAGUCCUUCUCUUCCUUCCCACCUCUCCUUUUUUUUUCUUUCUCUUUGGUUUUUCUUCUCUUGGCGCCAAGGCCUUCUUGGGCUGUCCCACCAGCCCACUAAGGGCUGGUGCGCCACCUUCAAGCCAUUGGGCUCCCUCGGGGUGGGUUGCCCCCUUCCCGGUGAACUUCCAGAACCCAUUCGUCACUCCUCGUAAAAUGCGGGUAAUGCCCGAAAACUUUCGGUAACCAAAUGAAACCAUACUAUAUAUCAAUCUUCGUUUCCGGACCAUUCCGGAAACCCUCGUGACAUCCUUGAUCUCAUCCGCGACUCCGAGCAACAUUCGGUAACCACACAUAUAACUUAACUAUACUAAAACAUCAUCGAACCUUAAGUGUGCAGACCCUGCGGGUUCGAGAACUAUGUAGACAUGCCCCGAGGCACUCCUCGGUCAAUAUCCAAUAGCGGGACCUGGAUGCCCAUAUUGGAUCCUACAUAUUCUCCGAAGAUCUUAUCAGUUGAACAUCAGUGUCAAGGAUUCAUAUAAUCCCGUAUGUCAUUCCCUUUAUCCUUCGGUAUGUUACUUGCCCGAGAUUUGAUCGUCGGCAUCCGCAUACCUAUUUCAAUCUCGUUACCGGCAAGUCUCUUUACUCGUUCUAUAAUACAAGAUCCCGUGACUUACACUUAGUCACAUUGCUUGCAAGGCUUGUGUGUGAUGUUGUAUUACCGAGUGAGCCCCGAGAUACCUCUUCGUCACACGGAGUGACAAAUCCCAGUCUUGAUCCAUACUAACUCAACGGAAAUCUUUGGAGAUACAUGUAGAGCACCUUUAUAGUCACCCAGUUACGUUGCGACGUUUGAUGCACUCAAGGUAUUCCUACGGUGCGAGUGAGUUAUAUGAUCUCAUGGUCAUAGGAACAAAUACUUGACAUGCAGAAAACAAUAGCAAUAAAAUGACAUGAUCAAUACGCUACGUUCAUAGUUUGGGUCUAGUCCAUCACAUGAUUCUCCUAAUGAUGUGAUCCAGUUAUGAAGUGACAACACUUGCACAUAGCCAGAAAACCUUGACUAUCAUUGAUCAACUCGCUAGCCAACUAGAGGCUUGCUAGGGACAUUGUUUUGUCUAUGUAUCCACACAUGUAUCUAUGUUUUCAUUCAAUACAAUAUAGCAUGGAUAAUAAAUGAUUAUCUUUAAACAAGAAACAUAAUAAUUAUUUAUCAUUGCCUCUAGGGCGUAUUUCCAAAAGUCUCCCACUUGCACUAGAGUCAUUAAUCUAGUCCUCACAUCACCAUGCGAUUUACAUUGUAAUAAAUCGAACACGCAUAUUCGCGGAUGAGGUUGAAGCGUCGUUUGAUGUGUCUCAUCUUCUUGUGAAACCUUGGUUCCUUUGAUAAGGCAAUGGCACCAGUGUUGUCACAUAACAGAGUUAAUGGAUUUAGUGAGCUCGGCACAACUCCAAGAUCUGUCAUGAACUCCUUCAUCCAAAAACCCUCCUUUGCUACCUCCGAGGCAGCCAUGUACUCCGCUUCACAUGUAGAAUCUGUACGACAAUCUGCUUGGAACUGCACCAGCUUACUGCACCCCCAUUAAGAAUAAAUACGUAUCCGGUUUGCGACUUAGAGUCAUCCGGAUCGGUGUCAAAACUUGCGUCGAUGUAACCUUUUACGACGAGCUCUUUGUCACCUCCAUAAACGAGAAACAUUUCCUUAGUCCUUUUCAGGUACUUCAGAAUAUUCUUGAUCGCCGUCCAGUGAUCCACUCCUGGAUUACUCUGAAACCUGCCUGCCAUACUUAUGGCCAAGCUGACGUCUGGUCUAGUGCACAACAUUGCAUACAUGAUAGAACCUACGGCUGAAGCGUAGGGGACGAAACUCAUUUGUUCUCUAUCUUGUGCAGUUGCUGGGCACUGAGUCUUACUCAAUUUGAUACCUUGUAAUACCGGCAAGAACCCUUUCUUGGACUGAUCCAUUUUGAACUUCUUCAAAACUUUAUCAAGGUAUGUGCUUUGUGAAAGUCCUAUCAUGCGUCUCGAUCUAUCCCUAUAGAUCUUAAUGCCUAGAAUGUAAGAAGCUUCUCCUAGGUCCUUCAUAGAGAAAUUUUUAUUCAAGUAAUCCUUUAUGCUAUCCAAAAGCUCCACGUUGUUUCCAAUCAGCAAUAUGUCAUCCACAUAUAAUAUUAGAAACACCACAGAGCUCCCACUCACUUUCUUGUAAGUACAAGAUUCUCCAACCACUUUUAUAAACCCAAAUGCUUUGAUCACCUCAUCAAAGCGCUUAUUCCAACUCCGAGAUGCUUGCACCAGUCCAUAAAUGGAUCGCUGGAGCUUGCUUACUUUGUUAGCAUUCUUUGGAUCGACAAAACCUUCGGGUUGCAUCACAUACAACUCUUCCUUAAGAAAACCGUUAAGGAAUGCCGUUUUGACAUCCAUCUGCCAAAUUUCAUAAUCGUAAAAGGAGCUAUUGCUAACAUGAUUCAAACGGACUUAAGCAUCGCUACCGGUGAGAAUGUCUCAUCGUAGUCAACUCCUUGAACUUGUGAAAAACCCUUUGCCACAAUUCGAGCUUUAUAAACGGUCACAUUACCGUAUGCGUCCGUCUUCUUCUUAAAGAUCCAUUUGUUCUGAAUAGCCUUGCGACCUUCAUGUAGUACUUCCAAAGUCCACACUUUGUUCUCGUAUAUGGAUCCUAUCUCGGACUUCAUGGUCUCUAGCCAUUUGUUGGAAUCCGGGCCCACCAUUGCUUCUUCAUAAUUCGCAGGUUCAUUGUUGUCUAACAACAUAAUUGAUAAGGCAGGAUUACCGUACCACUCAGGAGUAGUACGUGAUCUUGUCGACCUACAAGGUCCUAUAGGAACUUGAUCCGAAGUUUCAUGAUCAUCGUCAUCAACUUCCUCCUCAACCGGCGUCGCAACGAUAGGGGUUUCCCCUUGCCGUGCGCCACCAUCUAGAGGGAUUAGAGGUUCGACAACCUCAUCAAGUUCUAUCUUCUUCCCACUCAAUUCUUUCGAGAGAAACUCCUUCUCAAGAAAAGCUCCGUUUUUAGCAACAAACACUUUGACCUCGGAUUUGAGAUAGAAGGUAUACCCAACUAUCCCUUUUGGGUAACCUAUGAAUACACACUUUUCCGCUUUGGGUUCUAGCUUUUGAGGCUGAAGCUUUUUGACAUAAGCAUCACAUCCCCAAACUUUAAGAAACGAAUUUUUUUGGUCUUUUGCCAUACCACAGUUCGUAUGGUAUCGUCUCAACGGAUUUUGAUGGUGCCCUAUUUAAAGUGAAUGCAGCUGUCUCUAAUGCAUAACCCCAAAACGAUAACGACAAAUCGGUAAGAGACAUCAUAGAUCGCACCAUCUCUAAUAAAGUACGAUUACGAUGUUCGGACACACCAUUACGCUGUGGUGUUGCAGGCGGUGUUAACUGUGAAACAAUUCCACAUUGUCUUAUGUGAGCACCAAACUCGCAACUCAGAUAUUCACCCCCACGAUCAGACCGUAGGAACUUGAUCUUCUUGUUACGAUGAUUUUCAACUUCACUCUGAAAUUGCUUGAAGUUCUCAAACGUUUCAGACUUGUGCUUCAUCAAGUAGACAUAAACAUAUCUACUCAAAUCGUUAGUGAAGGUGAGAAAAUAACAAUAUCCGCCGCGCGCCUCCACACUCAUCGGACCGCAUACAUCGGUAUGUAUGAUUUCCAACAAGUCACUUGCACGCUCCAUUGUUCUAGAGAACGGAGCCUUAGUCAUCUUGCCCAUGAGGCAUGGUUCGCACGUGUCAAGUGAAACAAAGUCAAGUGACUCCAAAAGUCCAUCGGAAUGGAGUUUCUUCAUGCGCUUUUCACCAAUAUGACCUAAGCGGUAGUGCCACAAAAACAUGGUGCUAUCAUUGUUAACUCUAACUCUUUUGGUCUCAAUUUUAUGUAUAUGUGUAUUAUCGCGAUCAAGAUUCAAUAUGAACAAUCCUCUCACAUUGGGUGCAUGACCAUAAAAGAUAUUACUCAUAGAAAUAGAACAACCAUUAUUAUCUAACUUAAACGAGUAACCGUCUCGCAAUAAACAAGAUCCAGAUAUAAUGUUCAUGAUUAAUGCAUACACUAAAUAACAAUUAUUUAAGUUCAUAACUAAUCCUGAUGGUAAGUGAAGUGAAACUGUUCCGACGGCGAUUGCAUCAACCUUGGAACCAUUUCCCACGCGCAUCGUCACUUCAUCCUUCGUGAGCUUUCACUUAUUCCGCAAUUCCUGUUUCGAGUUGCAAAUAUGAGCAACAGAACCGGUAUCGAAUACCCAAGCACUACUACGAGAGCUGGUUAAGUACACAUCAAUGACAUGUAUAUCGAAUAUACCUGAUUUUUCCUUGACCGCCUUCUCAUCAGCCAAAUACUUGGGGAAGUUGCGCUUCCAGUGACCCAUACCCUUGCAAUAAUAACACUCCGUUUCAGGCUUAGGUCCAGCUUUGGGUUUCUUCAUCGGAUUGGCAAUAGGCUUGCCGCUCUUCUUGGAAUUACCCUUCUUUCCUUUGCCGUUUCUCACUAGUGGUCUUAUUCACCAUCAACACUUGAUGCUUUUUAUGGAGUUCUGACUCUCCGACUUUCAACAUCGCGAAUAACUCGCCGGGUGACUUGUUCAUCCCUUGCAUGUUAUAGUUCAACACAAAGCUCUUGUAGCUUGGUGGCAGUGAUUAAAGAAUUCUGCCAGUGAUAGCCUCUUGCGGGAGUUCAAUCCCCAGCUCAGCUAGACGGUUAUUGUACCCAGACAUUUUGAGCACAUGUUCACUAACAGACGAGUUAUCCUCCAUCUUGCAAGCAUAGAAUUUAUCGGAGGUCUCAUACCUCUCGAUCCGGGUGUUCUUCUGAAAGAUAAACUUCAACUCCUGGAACAUCUCAAAUGAUCCAUGGCCCUCAAAGUGACGUUGAAGUCCCGUCUCUAAGCCAUACAAGACUACACAUUGAACUACUGAGUACUCCUCCUUACGUUUUAACCAAGCAUACAUAACAUCUUGAUCAGCCGUAGCGGGUGGUUCAUCUCCUAGCGCAGCACUAAGGACAUAAUCCUUCUUUCCACCUUGGAGGAGCAACUUAAGAUUACGAGCCCACUCUACAAAGUUGCUUCCAUCAUCUUUCAACUUAGCUUUCUCUAGGAAUGUAUUAAAAUUCAGGGUGACUGUCGCGUGAGCCAUUGAUCUACAACACAAAUAUUUCAAAGUGGACUUAGACUAUGUUCAAGAUAAUUAGAGUUUAACUAAUCAAAUUACUUGUUAAAACCCCACUCAAAAAGUACAUCUCUCUAGUCAUUUGAGUGGUACAUGAUCCAAAUUCACUAACUCAAGUCCGAUCAUCACGUGAGUUGAGAAUAAUUUCAGUGGUAAGCAUCUCUAUGCUAAUCAUAUCAACUAUACGAUUCAUGCUCGACCUUUCGGUCUCGUGUGUUCCGAGGCCAUGUCUGCAGAUGCUAGGAUAGUCAAGCUUAACCCGAGUGUUCCGUGUGUGCAACUAUUUUGCACCCGUUGUAUGUGAACGUUGAGUCUAUCACACCCGAUCAUGACGUGGUGUCUCGAAACGACGAACUGUAGCAACGGUGCACAGUCGGGGAGAUCACAAUUUCGUCUUGAAAUUUUAGUGAGAUAUCACCUUAUAAUGCUACCGUUGUUCUAAGCAAAAUAAGGUGCAUACAAGUAUUAACAUCACAUGCGAUUCAUUAAUGACAUGAUAUGGCCAUCAUCAUGUGCUUCUUGAUCUCCACACCAAAGCACCGACACGAUCUUCUUGUCGCUGGCGCCACACCAUGAUCUCCAUCAACGUGACGCCAUCGAGGUUGUCAUGCGACUUAUGCUAUUACAACUAAAGCUAUGUCCUAGCAAUAUAGUAAACGCAUCUGCAAACACAAACGUUAGUUUAAAGACAACCCUAUGGCUCCUGCCGGUUGCCGUAUCAUCGACGUGCAAGUCGAUAUUAACUAUUACAACAUGAUCAUCUCAUACAUCCAAUAUAUCACAUCACGCCAUUGUCCAUAUCAUAUCACAAUCAUACCCUGCAAAAACAAGUUAGACGUCCUCUAAUUUGUUGUUGCAUGUUUUACGUGGCUGCUAUGGGUAUCUAGUAUGAUCGCACCUUACUUACGCAAAAACCACAACAGAGAUGUGCAAAUUGCUAUUUAACCUCUCCAAGGACCGCCUUGGUCAAAACCAAUUCAACUAAAGGUGAAGAAACCGACACCCGCCAGUCAUCUUUAUGCAACGAGGUUGCAUGUCAAUCGAUGAAACCAGUCUUUCGUAAGCAUACGAAUAAUGUCGGUGCGGGCCGCUUCAAUCCAACAAUACCGCCGAAUCGAGAAAAGACUAAGGAGGGCAGCAAAUCGAACAUCACCGUCCACAAAACCCUUUGUGUUCUACUCGAGAUAACAUCUACGCUUGAACCUAGCUCAUGAUGCCACUAUUGGGGAAUGUUGCAUGGGAAACAAAUUUUUUCCUAGGCACACGAAGACCAUCAUGGUGAUGUCCAUCUACAAGAAGAGAUUUGAAUCUAUGUACCCUAGUAGAUCGCACAACAGGAGGCGUUCAGAAACGCGGUUGAUGUAGUGGAACGUCUUCACGUUCCUCGAUCCGCCCCACGAACCGUCCCGCGAUCCGUCCCACGUUCCGUUCUGAUCUAGCGCCGAACGACGACACCUCCGUGUUCAGCACACGUACAGCUCAGCUCGACGGUGAUCUCAGCCUUCUUGAUCCAGCAAGCAAGACGGAGAAGUAGAUGAGGUCUCCGGCAGCGUGACGGCGCGCCGGUGGUGGUGAUGAUCUACUCCUGCAGGUCUCCGUCCGAGCUCCGCAGAAAUACGAUCUAGAGGUAAAACUAUGUGGUCUAGGGUUAAGUUGCACGUGGCAAAAGUUGUCUCUAAUCAGCCCUAAAUCACCACUAUAUAUAGGAGGGAGGGGGAGGAGGCUUGCCUUGAGGGCCAAGCCCUCAAGGGUGCGCCGGCCAGGAGGAGAGGAGGAAUCCUACUUCAAUUAGGAUUGGAAAGUGGAGUCCUUCUCUUCCUUCCCACCUCCCUUUUUUUUUCUUUCUCUUUGGUUUUUAUUCUCUUGGCGCCAAGGCGUUCUUGGGAUGUCCCACCAGCCCACUAAGGGCUGGUGCGCCACUCUAAAGCCAUUGGGCUCCCUCCGGGUGGGUUGCCCCCCUCCCGGUGAACUUCCGGAACCCAUUCAUCACUCCCGGUACAAUGCCGGUAAUGCCCGAAAAACUUUCCUGUAACUAAAUGAAACCAUCCUAUAUAUCAAUCUUCGUUUCCGGACCAUUCCGGAAACCCACGUGACGUCCGUGAUCUCAUCCGGGACUCCGAUAAACAUCCGGUAACCACACAUAUAACUCAACUAUACUAAAACAUCAUCGAAACUUAAGUGUGCAUACCCUGCGGGUUCGAGAACUAUGUAGAAAUGCCGCGAGGUACUCAUCGGUCAAUAUCCAAUAGCGGGACCUGGAUGCCCAUAUUGGAUCCUACAUAUUCUUCGAAGAUCUUAUUGGUUGAACCUCAGUGUCAAGGAUUCAUAUAAUCCCGUAUGUCAUUCCCUUUGUCCUUCGGUAUGUUACUUGCCCGAGAUUUGAUCGUCGGUAUCUGCAUACCUAUUUCAAUCUCUUUACCGGCAAGUCUCUUUACUCGUUCUGUAAUACAAGAUCCCAUGACUUACACUUAGUCACAGUGCUUGGAAGGCUUGUGUGUGAUGUUGUAUUAUCGAGUGGGCCCUUAGAUACCACUCCGUCACACGGAGUGACAAAUCCCAGUCUUGAUCCAUACUAACUCAACGGACACCUUCGGAGAUACCUGUAGAGCACCUUUAUAGUCACCCAGGUACGUUGUGACGUUUGAUGCACACAAGGUAUGCCUCCGGUGCCAGUGAGUUAUAUGAUCUCAUGGUCAUAGGGACAAAUACUUGACACGCAAAAAAAAUAGCAAUAAAAGGACAUGAUCAAUACACUACGUUCAUAGUUUGGGUCUAGUCCAUCACACGAUUCUCCUAAUGACGUGAUCCAGUUAUCAAGUGACAACACUGGCACAUAGCCAGAAAACCUUGACUAUCAUUGAUCAACUGGCUAGCCAACUAGAGGCUUGCUAGGGACAUUGUUUUGUCUAUGUAUCCACACAUGUAUCUAUGUUUUCAUUCAAUACAAUUGUAGCAUGGAUAAUAAAUGAUUAUCUUUAAACAUGAAAUAUAAUAAUAACUAUUUAUCAUUGCCUCUAGGGCAUAUUUCCAACAUGACCUACAUCACAACUCCCCCUGAGUGGAGCAGUACAACGAAGCCGAAGCCGAAGCAACACGACAAUACAAUUUGGAUCUCUUGGAAGAAGAGAGGGAAUUAGCUCUCAUUUCAUCAACGCUAUAUCAGUAAGACCUAAGGUGCUAUAUGAUAAGAAAGUCACAGGACGAACCUUCGAGGAGGGUGACUUGGUCCUCCGACUGGACCACCAAAAUCCUCACAAGCUGGCACCUCCGUGGCAAGGACCCUUUGCAAUCUCCAAGGUCCUGAACAAUGGAGCUUAUUGGCUUUACAACUUUCGAAACAGGAUGGAAGAGCCAAGGACCUGGAACGCGGAGCUGCUCCGCAAGUUCUAUACAUAGAACAUGUAUCUUUGUUCGUGUAACAACUCCAUAUGAUUCGACGAAUAAAGUGUUUUCCUUCUACACCCAUUUGUCAACAUUCUCAGUCCGGUGAAACAUCUCUCUUAAAAACCUGCCCCGAGUGAGGACAACCUCCAUGCUCGGGGGCUUAGCUGUGAACCUGAUUUCGCCUAAGUGCAAACGGUUCCGAGUGCAGGUACUCCUCACACUCGUAUGCCACGAUGGACAGGACCAUCGUUCGGUCCACAAGGACCACUCUGACAUCUUGGUCGCGGAUCAUAAUUCAGCUAAAACCUGCCCUGAGUGAGGAGAACCUCCAUACUCGGGGGCUUAGCAGUGAACCCGCCUUCGCCUAAUUACAGACGGUUCCGAGUGUGGGCAAUAUCCCCGCUCGACUACCAAGAUGAACAGGACAAUCGUCCCUUAGCUGCGAACAUGUUUUCACCUAAGACCAAACCUGCCCCGAGUGAGGACAACCUCCACGUUCGGGGGCUUAGUGAUACGUCCCAAACGUAUCUAUAAUUUCUGCUUGUUCCAUGAUCUUUUGGGUGACAUUGUUAUAUGUUCUGCUAUACUUUUAUAUCACUUUACACAUAUUUGGAAUAACCUACUAACUCAGUGGACCCAGUGCCAGUUUCUGUCUGCUGAUGUCUAUUUUGCACGGGCUUUUACCCAAUUUUUCGAAGCCCGAAAAAAUCCAGAAAAUAUAUAUAAAAAAUCAGCGAUACAGAAGCUUUCGGAUCACCGAAGGAGGGCAAGAGGGGGACCAGGGGCCUCCCAGGCGGCUUGCUGGCGCGGCCAGGCCCUAGGCAGCGCCAGGAGGUCGUGUGGGUGGGUCUCACCUCCUCUGGUGCCCUCCUUUGGCCUAUAUUUAGAGUCCCGAGAGGAAACCCUCGCAGACUUUCUGGAAUUGCGAUUUCUCCAUCGUUCCGCCGCCAUAACGCUUACGAGAUCGGGAGCGUCAUGAGACCUCCUCGCGGCACCCUGCCGGAGGGAGGAUUGACCUCCGGGAGCUUCUCGACCGCCAUGGACGCUUCCCGGACAUUGCGUGAGUAGUCCUCCUUGGACCAUGAGUCCAUGACCAGUAGCUAUGUGAUGUCUUCUCUCCAAUCUUGUGCUUCAAUGGUUAGUCCUUAUGAGCUAUCCUACAUGAUCAAGGCAUCUAUGUAAUUCUCUUGCUAUUGCUAUGCUCGGUUUGUUGGGAUGUGAUGGAUUAUGAGAUUAUGUUCAGAUUGAUAUGAUUUAUAUAAUUGAUUAUCCUUUUAUAUUAUGUUCCUUAGUAAUUCAUGCAUGUUCUCCGUUGCUUUUUAUUGCUUUGGCCGAGUAGUAGAUUGAAACUCCAAGAGGGGGCGUUAUGCAUGAUUGUAGGUUCAUGCCCCUCGAUGUCUAGCUUGACUAACAGAAACAUGAGACUAGGGGAUGUGCUUGUCGCCAACAGGGAGAAAACAACGGUGCUUAUGACCACGGUUGCAAGGAUUGUUUACCUUACGCAUAGUUCGUUAAUGAAGUUUUCCGUUGCUUUGAGUUUACACUUUGGGUGGGGCUCGCAACUUAAUACCAGAGAGAUGUUCUGGAUAAAUAUCUCAAGGUGGAUGAUUAGUAUGUAGAUGCUGAUGAAUAAAUGAUCUACUUGUCUUGGCAUACUGCCCAUUACUAUUGAAUCUCUAACUAUCAAGUAGCAUAAUUAGCAUUGCGGUGCGAUCAUAAUUCUGUCAAUUGCCCAACUGUAAUUUGUUUAACCAAGCAUAGUUGUUUAUCGUCUUUUGGGAGAGAGACAUCACUAGUAAACAUCAUGUGACUCUGGUCCAUAUCACCAUCAUUGUUUACAGCUCCAACAUUUACCGCUUUCAUUUACUUUUCCGUUGCAAUCACUAUUACUAUCCCGCUUGUGUUUUGAUCCUUUGCAAACUACAAGACCGGAGAGAUUGAUGAUAACCCACAAGUAUAGGGGAUCGCAACAGUUUUCGAGGGUAGAGUAUUGAACCCUAAUUUAUUGAUUCGACUCAAGGGGAAGCGAAAUAAUAUUCUCAAGUAUUAGCAGUUGAGUUGUCAAUUCAACCACACCUGAAAGAUUUAGUGUCUGCAGCAAAGUAUCAAUAGCAAAGUAGGGUGAUAGCAGCAGUAGCAACAGUAACCAGUAGUGACAGCAGUAGCGACAAAGUAACAACAGUAGCAACAGAGCAACAAUAGCAGCAGUGACUGCAGUAGCGGCAAAGUAACAUAGCAAGGGCCAGUAGUAAAAGACUCGUAGGCAUUGGAUCGGUGAUGGAUGAUUAUGCCAGAUGUGAUUCAUCAUGUAACAACUAUAACACGGAGAGAUAUGUAACUAGCUCCCGUUCGUCAAUCUAAUGUAGCCAUGUAUUCCGUAUGUAGUCAUACUUGCCUAGGGAAAAUAACUUGCAUGACAUCUAUUGUCCAUCCCUCCUGUAGCAGCGGGGUCCUAGUGGAAACUACGGGAUAUUAAGGUUCUCCUUUUAAUAAAGAACCGGACCAACGCAUUAACACUUGGUGAAUACAUGAACUCCUCAUACUAUGGUCAUCUCCGAGAGUGGUUCCGGCUAUUGUCACUCCGAGGUUGCCGGGUCAUAACACAUAGUAGGUGACUACAACUUGCAAGAUAGGAUCUAAUACACACAUAUAUUGGCAACAACAUAAUAGGUUCACAUCUGAAAUCAUGGCACUCGGGCCCUAGUGACAAGGAUUAAGCAUGGCAAAGUAGUAGCAAAAUCAAUCUCAGAACAUAGUGGAUACUAGGGAUCAAUCCCCGUCAAAACUAACUCGAUUACAUGUUAGAUCUCAUCCAACUCAUCACCGUCCAGCAAGCCUACGAUGAGAUUACUAACGAACGGUGAAGAGCAUCAUGGAAUUGGUGAUGGAGGAAGGUUCAUGAUCACGAUGGCGACAAUUUCCCCUCUCCGGAGCCCAAAACGGACUCCAGAUCUGCCCUCCAGAUGAAGAAGAGGAGGUGGCGGCGCCUCCAUAUCGUAAAACGUGAUGAAUCCUUCUCUUUGAUUUUUUUCCGGGCGAAACGGAAUAUAUAAAGCUGAGAUUGGAGGCGCUGGAGCUCUGUGGGCCCCACAAGCCUGCCAGGUGUGGCCAGGGGGGUGGUCGCGCCUCCUGGGCUUGUGGCCCACUGCUACUGCGACAACAGACCUUCCCUCGCAUCGGCGCUAGGAAUCCUUCUGCUACGAGCUACGCCUAUAGGGACUUCCUUGGCAAAUAUGCAAAGGAUUCCCCCUCGACCUUGGAGCAUUGCGUUGGUGUUCCCUUGAAGAGGAAAGGGUGAUGUAGCACAGCGGCGGUAAGUAUUUCCCUCAGUUUGAGAACCAAGGUAUCAAUCCAGUAGGAGGAUCGAGUCAAGUCACAAGUACCUGCACAAACACAAAGAGCUUGCUCCCAACGCUAUGAAGGGGUUGUCAAUCCCUUAUAGAUUGUUUGCAAAGUGAGAACUGAAAUCAAAAAGUAAACAAAGCAAAGUAAAAGUGAAAGUGGAGACGAUAGUUGUGAAUAGACCCGGGGGUCGUAGUGUUCACUAGUGGCUUCUCUCAUGAAAGCAAGUAGAUGGUGGGUGAACGAAUUACUGUCGAGCAAUUGAUAGAACCGCACAAAGUCAUGACGUUAUCUAUGGCAAUGAUCAUAUCUAUAUGCAUCACGUCCAAAACAAGUAGACCGAUACUUUCUGCAUCUACUAUUAUUACUCCACACGUUGACCGCUAUCCAGCAUGCAUCUAGUGUAUUAAGUUCAUAAGAACAGAAUAACGCCUUAAGCAAGAUGACAUGAUGUAGAUGGACAAUCUCAAUUCUAUGAUGAAAGCCCAUAUUGUUACCCUUGAUGGCAACAACACGAUGCGUGCCUUGCUGCCCCUUCUGUCACUGGGAAAGGUCACCGCAUGGUAUGAACCCAAACAAAGCACUUCUCCCAUUGCAAGAAUCAUAGAUCUAGUUGGCGAAACAAAACCCAAGACUCGGAGAGACUUACAAGGAUAUCAAAUCAUGCAAAUAAGAAAUCAGCAAAGACUCAAAUAUAAUUCAUAGAUAAUCUGAUCACAAAUCCACAAUUCAUCGAUCUCGACAAACACACCGCCAGAGAGGAUUACAUCGGAUAGAUCUCCAUGAAGAUCAUGGAGAACUUUGUAUUGAAGACCCAAGAGAGAGAAGAAGCCAUCUAGCUACUAACUACGGACCCGUAGGUCUAAAGUGGACUACUCACGAGUCAUUGGAGAGGCGAUGAUGUUGAUGUAGAAGCCCUCCAACUACAAAAUCCCCUCUGGCAGGGCACCAGGAAGGGUCUCCGGAUGAGAUCUCGCGGAAACGGAAGCUUGCGGCGGCGGAAAAGUGUUUUCGUGGAUGUCCUGAUUUUUUCUGCGAUUUUUAGGGAAUUUAUAGGCCAAAGAGCUAGGGCAAGGGAGCGCCAGGGAGGCCACAAGCCUUGUUGCCGCGGGCCCCCUCGCCGCGGCAAUAGUGCUUGUGGGCUCCCUUUGGCCCCCGUGCCUUGGACCUCAAGUCCCCCGAUCUUCUUCUGUUCUGGAAAAAAAUAUUUCGGGGAUUUUAUUCCGUUUGGACUCCAAUCCAAAAUCAGAUAUGAAAAGAGUCAAAAACACAGAAAAAACAGGAACUGUCAGUCGGCACUGAAUUAAUAAGUUAGUCCCAAAAAAGAUAUAAAAGGUAUAUAAAACAUCCAAGGUUGACAAGAUAACUGCGUGAAACCAUCUAAAAUUAUAGAUACGUUUGAGACGUAUCAAGCAUCCCCAAGCUUAACUCCUGCUCGUCCUCGAGUAGGGAAGUGAUAAAGAAUGAAUUUUUGAUGCUUUCAUGCUACCUAGCAUAGAUGUCCUUUGUAACUCCUCUUAGGUGACGUGAAUGUUCAGAUCCAUUAAAUUCAAAACAAUAGUUUGCUAAUGACGUGGAGACAAUAAUACUUCAAGCAAACUAGCAAGGUAAUCAUGAAUUUUCAAAAUAACAAGGCCAAAAGAAAGUUAUCCCUACAAAAUCAUAUAGUCUGGCUAUGCUCUAUCAUCCUUGCACAAUGAAUUUAAAUCAUGCACAACCUCGAUAUUGGCCAAGUAAUUGUUUUCACACCUUUACUUUCUCAAAAAAUUUCAACUCUCACGCAAUACAUAAGCGUGAGUCAUGGUUUUAGCACUAUAAGUGGAAUGGAGUGUGGUGGAGGUGGCAAGGCAAACAAGGAGAAGAUGGUCACAUUGACUAGGCAUAUCAAUGAGAUGUGGAGAUGCUCAUCAAUAGAUAUCAACGUGAAUGAGUAGGGAUUGCGAUACAAAUGAUGCUCUAGAUCUAAGAGUAUGUGAAAGCUCUUAAAGAAAACUAGUGGGUGUGCAUCCAACUUGCUUGCUCACGAAUACCUAAGGCAAUUUUGAGGAAGCCUAUCAUUGGAAUAUACAAGCCAAGUUAUAUAAUAAAUUUUUUCCACUAGCUAUAUGGUGGUGACAAAACGAGAGACUCUCAAUCAUGAAGAUCAUGGUGCUUAAUAAGCACAAGUGUGGAAAGAUAGUAGCAUUGUCCCUUCUCUCUUUUUCUCUCAUUUUUUGGUGGGCUCUUUGGCCUCUUUUUUUUUAUAUUUUUUUAUAUUUUGGUGGGCAUCUUUGGCCUCUUUUUUUAAAUGGGCUUCGCUGGCCUCUUUUAUUUCCUCACAUGGGACAAUGCUCCAUUAAUGAUGAUCAUCACACUUACAACUCAAAACUUAGAGGAAUGAUGACUCUAUAUGGAAUGCCUUCGGUAGUGUACCGUGACAAUGAUCUAGCAUGGCAUAGACAUUAAAUGGAAACAUCAUGCUAGCUAUCUUAUGAUCAUGCAAUGGCAAUGUAGAAGUGGUGGCACAUGUCAUGGUGGUAGUUGCAUGGCAAUAAAUCUCGGAAUGGCUUUGAAAAAGACAUAGUAGGUAGGUAUGGUGGCUGUCUUGAGGGAGGCUAUAUGGUGGGUUUUGUGCACCGGCGAAAGUUGCACGACACUAAGAAUAAAGUGAUGAUGGAAGGUGAAAGUGCAUCUAAACCAUGGACUCAACAUUAGUCAUGAAAAACUCAUAUACUUGUUGCAAAAGUUUUAGUAGUAAUCGAAACAAAGCAUUCAACGCAUACUCCUAGGGGAAGGGUUGGUAGGUAUAAACCAUCGCGCAAUCCCGACCGCCACACAAAGGAUGAAAAUCAAUAGACUAAUCAUGCCCAGACUUCAUCACAUAGCGGUUCACCAUACGUGCAUGCUACGGGAAUCACUAACUUCAACACAAGUAUUUCUAGAUCCACAACACCUUACUAGUAUAACUUCAAUAUUACCACAGCCACAACUCAAAACUAAUUGAGAUGAAUCAAACUUAUCUAACUAUUCAAUGCACAUGAAGGUGGAAGUUUUCAUAUCCCUUUGGAUAACUACCCCUUUUGAGACUACUUUCAUAGCAUAGAUCAACUACCAAGCCACGCGCCGGCGUGCUCUAAAAGAUAUAAGUGAAGCACACAGAGCAAAAUCAACUAGCUCAAAAGAUAUAAGUGAAGCACAUGUGAGCUGAAUUGUCUAACCAAAGGAUAUAAGUGAAGCUCGACAAAAUCACGGUGAGUGCAUGUCUCUCUCUCAAGGUGUGCAUCAAGGACUAUUGUGACGCAACAAAAAUAAAAGACUCCUACGAUACAAUACGCUCCAAGCAAAACACAUAACAUGUGGUGAAUAAAAAUAUAGCCCCAAGUAACGUUACCGAUGGAUUGAAGACGAAAGAGGGGAUGCCUUCCCGGGGCAUCCCCAAGCUUAGGCUUUUACGGCAUCCUUGAAUCAACUUUGGGUGCCUUAGGCAUCCCCAAAUUUGAGCUCUUGCCACUCUUUAUCUUUUUGUCCAUAAGAACUUCACCCAAAACUUGAAAACUUCACAACACGAAACUUAAACAGAAACUCGUGAUAACAUUAGUAUAAUAAAGCAAAUCACCACUUCCUUAGGUACUGUAGCAAACUUAAAUUCUACUUAUGUUGAUGUUGGGUUACUGUAUUUACAAUAUUCCAUGGCUAAUACCCCUCGAUACUAUCCAUAGUUUCAUCAAAAUAAGCAACCAACUCAACAAAAAACAGAAUCUGUUAACAGCAGACCAGUCUGUAGUAAUUUCUAUACUUCGUAUAUUUAUGGUACUUCAAAAAUUCUGAAAAAUUAUGACAGUCUGAAGAAUUUGCGUACAAAUCAGCAGCAAAAAGAAUAAACUCAAAAGCUCUCACAGAAAAAAGGAAAAUUCUUUUCAUGAGCAGAAAGUUUGUGUCUUUUCGAGCAUGAUCAAACGAUCACCCCCAAGACUAAUCAUAACGGUUUUACAUGGCACAAACGCAAAAGAAACACAAAAAACAAAAUCAUAACAGAAUUAUGAAAGUGUGGAAAACACAAAACAGAAAGAAAAAGGAUAGAUUCGUUGGGUUGCCUCCCAACAAGCGCUAUUGUUUAACGCCCUUAGCUAGGCAUUGAUAAUUCAAUGAUGCUCACACAAAAGACAAGAAUUGAAGCACAACGAGAUCAUCAUAAAGCAUGUGAAAAUCACAUCUAAGUCUAACAUACUUCCUAUGCAUAGGCAUUUUAUAGGAAAACAGAUUGUCAAGACAACCAAUAGUUACCAUAUGCAAGGAAGAAGAAAGAGACAGUAGCAAUCUCAACACAACGAGAGGUGAUUUAGUGAUAUGAAUGUUUCUACCACCAUAUUUUUGCUCUCUCAUAAUUAUUACAUGUGGGAUCAUAUUCGAAUUCAACAAUGUAACUAUCACAUAGGAUAUUCUUUUCAUGAUCCACAUGCAUGCAAAGUUGACGCUCUUUAAAAAUAGUGGGAUUAUCAUCAACUAAAGUCAUGACUUCUCCAAACCCACUUUCAAUAAUAUUGCAAAUAUCAUAUUCAUCAUGAGGCUUAAAUUUUUUUUCAAGAUCAUAAGAACAAUCAUCACCCCAAUCAUGAUCUUUGCAACAAGAAUCCCCAAGCUUAGGGUUUUGCAUAUUUUUAGCAUGAUUGUCAUUAAUAGAAUUUAUAGUGAAAUCAUCGAAAUCAUGCUUUUCAUCCAAGAAGCCCUCGUGAAUCACUUCAUGAAUUUCUUCCUCACAAUUUUCAGAUUCACGCAUCUCAAGCAAAACUCCAUAAAGAUAGUCAAGUGCACUCAACUCACUAGCGAUUGGAUCAACAUAAUUGGAUCUCUUAAAGAGAUUAGCAAGUGGAUGAGGAUCAAUAUCACUAGAUUUUGAGCAAGCGAAGAUGCAAGCAUAUUGAAGGCACAUGGCACACAAGAGAACAAAAAGCAAGCGAGAGAAAAGGGCGAACCAAAAAGGCAAACGAAAAAAAGGCAAACGAAAAAGGCGAAUUGUGAAGUGGGGGAGAGGAAAACGAGAGGAAACUGGCAAACAAAGUGAAUGCAAGAGAUGAGUUUGCGACACCUACUUGGACGAGUCCUUGACUUGAUCUCUCCCCGGCAACGGCGCCAGAAAUCCUUCUGCUACUGCGACAACAGACCUUCCAUGGCAAUGGCGCCAGGAAUCCUUCUGCUACGGGCUACGCCUAUAGGGACUUCCUUGGAAAAUAUGCAAAUGAUUCCCCCCUCGGCUUUGGAGCCUUGCGUUGGUGUUCCCUUGAAGAGGAAAUGGUGAUGUAGCACAGCGGCAGUAAGUAUUUGCCUCAGUUUGAGAACCAAGGUAUCAAUCCAGUAGGAGGAUCGAGUCAAGUCACAAGUACCUGCACAAACACAAAGAGCUUGCACCCAACACUAUGAAGGGGUUGUCAAUCCCUUAUAGAUUGUUUGCAAAGUGAGAACUGAAAGCAAAAAGUAAACAAAGCAAAGUAAAAGUGAAUGUGGAGACGAUAGUUGUGAAUAGACCCGGGGGCCGUAGUGUUCACUAGUGGCUUCUCUCAUGAAAGUAAGUAGACGGUGGGUGAACGAAUUACUGUCGAGCAAUUGAUAGAACCGCGCAAAGUCAUGAUGUUAUCUAUAGAAAUGAUCAUAUCUAUAGGCAUCACGUCCAAAACAAGUAGACCGAUACUUUCGGCAUCUACUACUAUUACUCCACACGUCGACCGCUAUCCAGCAUGCAUCUAGUGUAUUAAGUUCAUAAGAACAGAGUAACGCCUUAAGCAAGAUGACAUGAUGUAGAUGGACAAUCUCAAAUCUAUGAUGAAAGCCCAUCUUGUUAACCUUGAUGGCAACAACAUGAUGCAUGCCUUGCUGCCCCUUCUGUAACUGGGAAAGGUCACCGCACGGUAUGAACCCAAAACCAAGCACUUCUCCCAUUGCAAGAAUCAUAUAUCUAGUUGGCCAAACAAAACCCAAGACUCGGAGAGACUUACAAGGAUAUCAAAUCAUGCAAAUAAGAAAUCAGCAAAGACUCAAAUAUAAUUCAUAGAUAAUAUGAUCACAAAUCCACAAUUCAUCGGAUCUCGACAAACACACCGCCAAAGAGGAUUACAUCGGAUAGAUAUCCAUGAAGAUCAUGGAGAACUUUGUAUUGAAGAUCCAAGAGUGAGAAGAAGCCAUCUAGCUACUAACUACGGACCCGUAGGUCUGAAGUGGACUACUCACGAGUCAUUGGAGAGGCGAUGAUGUUGAUGUAGAAGCCCUCCAACUCCAAAGUCCCCUCCGGCAGGGCACCGGGAAGGGUCUCCAGAUGAGAUCUCGCGGAAACAGAAGUUUGCAGCGGCGGAAAAGUGUUUUCGUGGAUGCCCUGAUUUUUUCUGCGAUUUUAGGGAAUUUAUAGGCCAAAGAGCUAGGGCAGGGGAGCGCCACGGAGGCCACAAGCCUGGUUGCCGCGGCCCCCCUGGUCGCGACAACAUGACUUGUGGGCUCCAUGUGGGCCCCCUGGCUUGGCCCUCAAGUCCCUCGAUCUUCUUCUAUUCGGGAAAAAUUUAUUUCAGGGAUUUUAUUCCGUUUGGACUCCGUUCCAAAAUCAGACCUGAAAAGAGUCAAAAACACAGAAAAAACAGGAACUGGCACUUGACACUGAAUUAAUAAGUUAGUCCCAAAAAAGAUAUAAAAGGUAUAUAAAACAUCCAAGGUUCACAAGAUAACAGCGUGGAGCCAUAAAAAAUUAUAGAUACGUUUGAGACGUAUCACCCACUGGCUCACCUCCUCUGGUGGAUCUUUGCGCAGGUAUUUUUCAUUAAUUCCAUAAAAAUUCUCCGUAAAUUUUCAGGUCAUUUCGAGAACUUUUAUUUCUGCACAAAAACAACACCAUGGCAAUUCUGCUGAAAACAACGUUAGUACGGGUUAGUUCCAUUCAAAUCAUGCAAAUUAGAGUCCAAAACAAGGGCAAAAGAGUUCGGAAAAGUAGAUACGACGGAGACGUAUCAACUCCCCCAAGCUGAAAGCCUUGCUUGUCCUCAAGCAAUUCAGUUGACAAACUGAAAAAGACAAAAGAAAAACUUUGACGAACUCUGUUUAUAACCAGAAUUUCAGCAAGAUCACAAGCAAACCACAUAAUCAAAUGACAUCUAGGUCUCACGGUAAACUCAUAUCAAUGGCAUAAUCACCUAGCAAGCAAAUAAUAAUAAGUCUCAAACGUCAACACUUCAAUCAAAACAAUCAUGAAGCAGUACAAAUAGAUGGUAUCUCGCUAGCUCUUUGUCAGACCGCAAAUCAUAAAUGCACAACACCUUCAAAGACCAAGGGCUGACUAAACAUUGUAAUUUAUGGCAAAGAAGAUCCAGUCACAGUCAUACUCAACACAGUUAACAACAAAGCAUAAAAAUGACAGAGGUGCUCUCUAACUGGUGCUUUUAUAAGAAGAGGAUGACUCAAUAGGAACAUAAAUAGACAGGCCCUUCGCACAGGGAAGCAUUGAUUUGCAGAGGUGCCAGAGCUCAAGCUUUGAAAACAGAGAUAAUAAUUUUGGGUGACAUGCUUUCAUUGUCAACGCAAUGACUAAGAGUUCUCAACAUCUUCCACGCUACACAUGCUAUAGGCGGUUCCCAAACAGAAAAGUAAAGUUUUGACUCCCCCACACUCCACGGCUAGCCAAAUCCUCGGGUACCGUCCAUACCAACAUCAAUCCUGGGGGAGUUUUGUUUGCAAUUAUCUUUUUGAUUUGAGCAUGGAACUGGGAAUUCCAAUUACCGGCCCCUUUCUCGUGAAUGAUAGUGAAUAAACACAUAUCAAGGAUAACACGCCUAGCAUGGAAGAUACUGAUAGCCCCCUGUCACCACAUGAGCGGUUCGGGCACGCAAAACAGAUUAUUUCUUGAAGGUUUAGAGAGUGGCACAUGCAAAUUUACUUGUAACGACAGGUAGAUACCACACAUAGGUAGAUAUGGUGGACUCAUAUGGAACAACUUUGGGUUUAUGGGAGUGGAUGCUCAAGCAGUAUUCCCGCUCAGUACAAGUGAAGGCUAGCAAAAGACUGGGAAGCGACCAACUAGAGAGUGACAACAGUCAUCAAAAUGCAUUGAGAUUAACUAACAUUGAGUGCAAGCAUGAGUAGGACAUAAAUCACCAUGAACAUGAAUAUCAUAGAGGCUAUGUUGAUUUUGUUUCAACUACAUGCGUAAACAUGCGCCAAGUCAAGCCACUUGAAUCAUUCAAAGGAGGAUACCAUCCUAUCAUACUACAACACAGUCAUCUCAACAUUCAUGUUGGCAUCCAAGGCAAACCUGUGACAGCCCGAUGCCGACGUUCCAGAAGAUUCCCCUUCUAUUGCAUUUUCGUCGUGUGUCUUGUUUUAUUUGUUGCAUCAUCAUCGCAUCAUGCGCAUCAUCAGCAUUGCAUUGGCAUCCCGUUGCCGCCAGUUUUCAAAACUCGCAUCCGUUGUUAGUUGCCGGUUCUCGUCGUUGACCGUUCUGAGCCCGACCGCACACGCACGCGCCCGCGGCAUCGUCAAACCCUGUUUUUAAAGUGUGCGUUAAAAUUUCUCUGAUCGGGGUGAAACUUGGCAUGCGGUCAUGAUUAGGUAUAGCUAGGCCGCCUGUCGAAUUUCGUCGCGGUCGGAGUCCGUCUGGUACCCGAACGGUCGACCGUAGCGGCACCGUCUUCGGUCUACCGUCGGACGUGUUCCGGCGUUUUAAAUAUCGUGUUGCCGCACCAUGCUAUUUCCCUCUCACCUCCGCCUAGCCACUCAUCACACCCACCUAGACAUUCCUGCGUCUGUGACCGUUUGAUCGCGAUCACGUGGUCGAAAACUGAUCUGGAUUCGGAUAACCCUAGCUACCCCAACUAUAAAAGGAAGGGUCUCCCCUUCCAUUUCUGCCUCCCUCUCUCUUCCUAGAAGACCGCGCCACCAACCCUAGCCGCCAUCCCAGCACCCCCUCUCCCCUCAACCUCCGCGGCCCGCCUGAGGCCCAGAUCCGGCCCUCCCGGGAACGGAUCAGCAACCGCCGCCAGCCGCCGCCUCCCUCUCCCGCAGCAACAGCAGCACCGCAGCCCCGUGCCCAAGAGGAGGAGCCCGAGGUCACCUCGCGUGACCCCCGCGCCCUGCAUCGGCGAUCCAGGCGAGCAGGUCGCCGCGCUCCAUGCCCUCCCUCUACCUCCUCCUUCCUCUGUGGCCCCUCUCCCUCAUGGAAUCCCUCCCUCUCUUUGUGCAGGAACCAUGGAAGCCGUGGUGCGUGACGCGAGCCCCGUCUCCGGCCAGAUCCGGCGAGCUGCGCUCGGAUCCAGCCGGGCCCUUGCCGUCGUGCCGUUCCCGAGUGCCAGGAACCCCCAACGGCAGCCGCGACCUCCCCCUGUUCGGCGCCGCCAUGCCCUCGUGCGGCACGGCCAAAGGAGGACGACGAGGUCGUGCGGCUCGCCCUCCCGUAGUGCGUGGGCCGGCCUCCCACGUGGCCUCGCCAGGCCCACCUCGGCCAGGCGCACCCCGGCCUCCUCCCGCGGCCCAGAUGGCCAGGAGCAAGGCCCACUCCAACUCUCCAGCGCCCAGACCGGUCCAAUCCAGCCCGAGGUGAUUUUUUUCCUUCCCUGUGCCCUUUAAUCGAUGCGCGUGCGCGUUUUAGAUAAACCGUGCUUGCCCCUGUGUAGCCCAUUAGGAAUAGUGUCAGCCCGUGUAGUUUAUUAGGAAUUUUCGGAAUUAUAUUAAUUCUAGAAAAUUAGACGGAUAUUAAAUCGACCGUAACUUUUACUCCGUAUGUCGGAUCGCGAUGAUUUAGAUAUGGUUUUCAUGUAGUUUCUCGCGUAGAAUCCGUUUUUCCAACUUGCAUAUUUAUUUGAUGCUGGUUGAUGUGUCGCAUGCCUAGAUUUACGUGCUGACCCGUUAGUAUAUUGCCCGUGUUUAAUUUUUCGUGCGUGUCCGGAUAGCCCGUAUGCCUUAGAUUAAAUGCCUACAUUUUAGGAACUAUUUUUCCAUGUAUUUUAGAAUGAUCACUGGUAUUUUUACGUGUAGAGAUCGCCGGUAGUUUAUUUUCCCGUAUGUAGGUUAUUUUCCCGCAUUUAUGUGUGGUUUUAUUUAGUUGUGCAACCCCAGAUAUCUUUUAUGUUUCCGGGGUAGAAAAAUCCAUGGGAUUUUUCUGUGCAAUUAAUUUUAACUUUUGAGCAAGUUAGUUCGUGCAAUAUUUUUCCAUGUUGCCCUGUGGUCUUUUUCGUAGGAUUUAUUCCGUGCUUCGUUUGACGGAGUUGUCAACUAGGGAGUUGUUCUUGGGUGUUUAGACUAGCCCAUGGUAUUUUUAGUUGCAAUAGAAAUGCAUGUUUAGGUGUGUUUUGCUUGCUCCCAAGUUGAUUGAAAUAGUGCUGAUUUGGAGGAGCUGAAAUAUUUCUAAGUCUGGAAUCUGUUAUAUUUUGUUGCUGUUUUGUUUUGCUUCUAUCUUUAGAUAUGUAGCUCUUUUGAGGUUGGUCCAAUGGAGUUAGUUGUACCCCUUGUGUUUCUCUAGCUUGCUGUGAAGUUUCCUGCCAUUUGGAGUCCUGUAGCUAUAGGUUUUGCUGCUGUCAAUAUUGCUUCAGAUCGAAAACUGCACUUCCAUGAGGUGUAAUUUUCACUAAGUCUGAAAUAGUGUGUGGGAAGCCAUUUUGUGACUUCUUUCCCUAGUGUUCCUUGCUGCCAUGCUAGUUGUUGUUAGUUGUUCGUAGUAGUGCUUCUUGCCCUCUUCCGUGCCAUGCCUUGCUUGUGCAUAUCGGAGUUGUGUAGCCGUAGUUGUGGGGCGUAGUAAACGCUAUGUGGCUGAUUUUGGGCAGAUUGUAUUUAUUUCUUGUUUAGCUCGUAGUUUUUGAUCCGUAGCUCCGAUUUGAUCGUGUCCUACAUGAAACUUGCUUAGAAUCUCGUGUAGUUCAUCUGCUCUUGCUUGUGGUAUGUUUUGAAGUGCUCGCGACCGUCGUUGCACACAUAUUGCAUUCAUGCCAUCUAUCUUGCGGUGCUUGUAACUUUUGAUCCGUAGCUCCGUUGAAGAUGAUCUCUAUGUGUAAAUUGCUUGUAUCGUCGCGUAGAAUCACGUUAACCUAUUUGUUUUGCUGUUUAACAACUAAUUAAAGGUGUUAAUUCAGAUCUGGUCAGAAUUGUAAAUUAACAUGUGAGGUCGUUUCGGAGGUGCUAUAUGUCAUUUCCGACCUCAUUUAAAAUGCCUAGAUAGGUAGAUUAAUUACGCUUCACCUCUUGCCAUGUUUAAUCACAUUUAAUAUUGCCGUGUAUCUAAUCGGGAUAGAACUAAAUAAUUAACGUAGAGUUUCGUCAAUAUGCAACUCGUUGCAUAUUGAACUUCACUUAACGUGUAGUGUUUGAUUGUGUGAAUUGUCAUGCCGUGACUUGCUUGUAUUCAGCUGCUCAUGCAUCAUAUGUGUUGUGCAUCGUGUGGUGAAUUCCGUGUGUUGAUUUGUGUUUCCGGUUUGUUUCAUCUCGAUAGAGUUCCGAAGCGUGUCGGAUGUGAGGACCCGCUCGACUACGUCGGUUCGUCUGCUUCACGGAGGCAUUCUUCUUCCAAGCGGGAUCUGAGGCAAGAUGAUCAUUUCCCCAGAUACCAUUACUAUCAUUGCCAUGCUAGUUUUAUCGCUGCUAUCGAUUAUGUAUCGUUGCCUACCACCUGUUAAAUAUUAGCCUCUCAACAAUGCCAUAAUAACCUUCAACCUAUUCGACCUAGCAAACCACUGAUUGGCAAUGUCACCGCUUGCUUAACCCUGUGUAGCGUUGCUAGUUGCAGGUGCAGUGGCUUCCAGGUGAAAGCAUGGGUUCCUUGUUAUAUCACCGUAUUAAAUUCUAUUUAAUUUAAUGCACCUAUAUACUUGGUAAAAGGUGGAAGGCUCGGCCUUUCUAGCCUGGUGUUUUGUUCCACCUUUGCCCCCUUAGUUUCGGCUACCGGUGUUAUGUUCCAUAAUCGAGCGCUCCUAACACGAUCGGGGUUGUUAUGGGGACCCCCUUGAUAAUUUGUUUUAGUUUAAAGCUGGUCUGGCAAGGCCCAACUUUGGUUCUACAUUUUCCCAACAUAAUAGUUUUGAUAAAUUGAAAUGCAUAGGGAGUUAGCGCUACCCGAGGAGUAAUUUUACAUAAACAGGAGGGGCCAGUGCUGAUGGUGUUGGUCCCAAACAGUCUGCCUGCGGUGCCACCGCGAGGAAACUCGAGGUUUGGCACUCGUAGCUAGUUCCAUCCGUCGUGUCCUGAGAAUGAGAUACGCGGCUCCUAUCGGGUACGUCGACACGUCGGGCGGCCUUGCUGGAUUAGUUUUACCUUUGACGAGAUAUCUUGUGCAUCGGCAUUCCGGUGAUGCUUUGGGUAAUCUCAGAGUUGAGGUUUUCCACUAGGGAAUCCGACGAGAUCGCGAGCUUUGUGAUUGAGGAUUUCUAUGCGGCUUGUGGUAAUUUGUGAUGGACUAGUUGGAGCACCCCUGCAGGGCUAAAUCUUUCGGAAAGCCGUGCCCGCGGUUAUGUGGCAACGUAGAAGCUUGUUUAACACUGCUUCUAGAUAACUUGAAGUUAACGUAAUUAAAAUAUGCCAACUGUGUGCGUAACCAUGACUGCCUCUUUCGUGAGUUCUUUCUCCGAUCGAGGACAUGGUGGGGUUAUGUCUGACGUAGGUAUGUGUUCAUGAUCAUUCAUUUGAUCAUCAGUAGUCACGUCCGUUAUGCGUAGAUCUUCCCCCUCUAAUUCCUGUACUCGUAAGUUUAGCCACCAAAUAUAUGCUUAGCCGCUGCUGCAACCUCACCACUUAACCAUACCUCACCCAUUAAGCUUUGCUAGUCUUGAUACCUUUGGAAAUGAGAUUGCUGAGUCCCCUGUGGCUCAGAGAUUACUACAACACCAGUUGCAGGUACAGGUAAAGGUUACUUGACGCGAGUGCCUUGAUUGUUCAUUUGGAGUUGCUUCUUCUUCUUCUUCAUCGAUCUAGGACGGGUUCCAGGCCGGCAGCCUGGGAUAGCAAGGAUGGACGUCGUUCUUAUUUUUCUCGUUUGUUUUCGUCCGUAGUCGGACCCUGCUCUUACUCUUGAUGAUUAUGUAAUGUACUGAUGUGACUCUGAUGUAGCUUGUGGCGAGUGUAAGCCAACUCUGUAUAUAUAUCUCUUCUUUUCAGUACAUGUACUUGUAACGAUAUCCAUUCUUGCGACACGACGAGAUGCGCUUCUAUCCCUGACGAGGCCUUCGUGCCAAAUUGAGGAUAGGGUCGCAUCUUGGGCAUGACAAAACCAUUAUAAGCUCCUAGCUAAAUAAGCAUGGCAUCAGCAACUAUGAUCUCUAAGUUGCCAUUGCAAACAUGUUUCUCUCACAAUAAAGCUGAAUCAGGCAUGAUGAGCUAGUCAUAUUUACAAAAACAAAAUAUAUCGAGUUCAUACCAACUUUUCCAGGCUCAGUCACUUCAUCAUAUAUCGUCAUUAUUGCCUUUCACUUGCACGACCGAAUAACGUGAACAAUAAUAAGAGUGCUCGUGCAUUGGACUAAAGCUGGAAUCUGCAGUCAGACACAAAGGAGAAGACAAAGUAAUAUGGCUCUUUAACAGCUAAACAUGUAUGCAUGCGAGAGCCACUAAACAUUGUAACCAUUAUCUUCUACCUUGACCCAAAGAAAAUAAAACUAUUUACACGGGAAAGCUCCCAACAAGCAAAAAGAAGAAAAAUAAAAUAUUUUUUGGUUUUUUCUCAAACUAGACAGACACACGAAAACAAAACGAGAAAAAGAAAA